UUCAAGACUUUUAAGCCAGGUUUGCAAAACUCUGUGUGGCAACCCGGGAAGAUCCUCUUAAGGGCCAGCCCCUCUCAUUGGGCAGAAUUUCCCGAGAUAACAAGUCACACUUCUCCCUCCUUCUCUAACAAAAAGCCAAGAGGUACAAAUUCCUACUUACGCAACAGGAAAAUGACUGAUUAGUCCAACUCUUCAUCUCAGCACAUUAGUAUUGCGCUGUAGUCAAGCUACAGUCUUUCCUUCACCCAUGGGAGGUGCUGAAUGCUGGUAGGACAGUCCAGCUUUUGGGGAUUCGCUUUCCGUGUUAGAGUGCAGCCUGCUGGGCCAGCCCUGGAGGAAUGGCUCCAGCCUCCUCACGCUCUCUUCUAAAGAGUCAACCCCUAGAGUUCAGGUACUGGAGUAAUGGAAUGAAUGAAAUUUCAUGUCAUACACCUCAGGGAGAAGGCUGAAAUGGAGCUGGGCUGGAGAGCAGUCAUGUCCUUGUAAGGCUAGGAGUCCCUGGAGAUCACCAAAAAAAAAAAAAAAAAAAAAAUAGUACUUGUUGUCAGGAGAACCUGCAGUCCCUCCAAAGGUGCCCCAUUGAUUCAAAAGCCAGAUACUACUUUGUCAACAAAGGCAUCCCAUGGUGAAAAGUCUGGAGGAUAAAUUGCCCUUGGCUCAUUGUUGUGCAAUCAGAAAUUCAUUCAUGUGAGGAAAAAGCAGUUAAAACUGAUGGAAAAACGCCAAAGAAAGCGGCUGUCAGACUGAUUGCUUUUUGGCAGAGGCUGAGAUCAAGAUUUACCAAGGAAAGCCCACCUAAAUAUGACCCAAGAGGAAGUGACAGAGCUCAGGAGCAUUACUAAGCCUGGAUACUGGAAUUUCAGUUACCUUGCAAGAUAUCAGGUGCCUCCUUCAAAUGAAUUUUUAAGUAUCUCCCUGAUGAUGAGGAAGAACAGAGACAUCAAUUAGGAUUCAGGAAGACACGUCUUUGCAGAAAAUGCUUAGAGCAUCAAGGACUGCUAUUAAUAUUUGGAAGUUUAAGAGAGAGUAUAUUUUCCUCAGUCAACAAAUGACAAAAGUAAAGGCAUGGUUUUCAUUGUUUCUGGAAGAAGCCUGGCAGCAUUCCAUUCAGACAUCUGCCCUUUGAUCGUUCUAUUUUCCUCUUUACUUAUUUCAGUCCUUCUAAUCUUCAAGGCUGAGUCUGAAUAUUUCUUCCUGAGGCUUCUUCUAAUCAUCUCUGCCUUUAAGGACAACUC